rnacentral:rRNA from 1 species
AUUGAACGCUGGCGGCAGGCCUAACACAUGCAAGUCGAACGAGUGGCGGACGGGUGAGUAAUGUCUGGGAAACUGCCUGAUGGAGGGGGAUAACUACUGGAAACGGUAGCUAAUACCGCAUACAAUCAGAUGUGCCCAGAUGGGAUUAGCUUGUGGGUGGGGUAACGGCUCACCAAGGCGACGAUCCCUAGCUGGUCUGAGAGGAUGACCACCCACACUGGAACUGCGCCACGUUCCAGACUCCUACGUGAGGCAGCAGUGGGGAAUAUUGCACAUUGGGCGCAUGCCUGAUGCAGCCAUGCCGCGUGUAUGAAGAAGGCCUUCGGGUUGUAAAGUACUUUCAGCGGGGAGGCGUUACCCGCAGAAGAAGCACCGGCUAACUCCGUGCCAGCAGCCGCGGUAAUAC